rnacentral:rRNA from 1 species
ACUUAAAUUGAAGAGUUUGAUCAUGGCUCAGAUUGAACGCUGGCGGCAGGCCUAACACAUGCAAGUCGAGCGGUAGCACAGAGAGCUUGCUCUCGGGUGACGAGCGGCGGACGGGUGAGUAAUGUCUGGGAAACUGCCUGAUGGAGGGGGAUAACUACUGGAAACGGUAGCUAAUACCGCAUAACGUCGCAAGACCAAAGUGGGGGACCUUCGGGCCUCAUGCCAUCAGAUGUGCCCAGAUGGGAUUAGCUAGUAGGUGGGGUAACGGCUCACCUAGGCGACGAUCCCUAGCUGGUCUGAGAGGAUGACCAGCCACACUGGAACUGAGACACGGUCCAGACUCCUACGGGAGGCAGCAGUGGGGAAUAUUGCACAAUGGGCGCAAGCCUGAUGCAGCCAUGCCGCGUGUGUGAAGAAGGCCUUCGGGUUGUAAAGCACUUUCAGCGGGGAGGAAGGCGAUAAGGUUAAUAACCUUGUCGAUUGACGUUACCCGCAGAAGAAGCACCGGCUAACUCCGUGCCAGCAGCCGCGGUAAUACGGAGGGUGCAAGCGUUAAUCGGAAUUACUGGGCGUAAAGCGCACGCAGGCGGUCUGUCAAGUCGGAUGUGAAAUCCCCGGGCUCAACCUGGGAACUGCAUUCGAAACUGGCAGGCUAGAGUCUUGUAGAGGGGGGUAGAAUUCCAGGUGUAGCGGUGAAAUGCGUAGAGAUCUGGAGGAAUACCGGUGGCGAAGGCGGCCCCCUGGACAAAGACUGACGCUCAGGUGCGAAAGCGUGGGGAGCAAACAGGAUUAGAUACCCUGGUAGUCCACGCCGUAAACGAUGUCGAUUUGGAGGUUGUGCCCUUGAGGCGUGGCUUCCGGAGCUAACGCGUUAAAUCGACCGCCUGGGGAGUACGGCCGCAAGGUUAAAACUCAAAUGAAUUGACGGGGGCCCGCACAAGCGGUGGAGCAUGUG